UAAAACAUGUAAUUUAUAAAACUAAUCGGUUAAUACCUUAUCUCGUAUAAGAGCAGGUAUUUAUUAAUAUUGAUUGCAUUAUCAAUGGCGUACACAAAUUCCAAAAUCUGAUGAGUGCGGCCGUACGUAAGAAUACUACUCAUUUUCAUUCAUAACUACCGGUACAUCACAGGUUGCUGUACCAUAGGAUAGUUUGCAGAUUUCUGAAUGGAUGAACAUUAACAAAUCUCCACCUGCUGGGAUGUGGCAGUAAUUGCUGGAUUGACAAAGGCUGCUGUGGAUAAAGUAUCUGAGGAAACUAACUGAGUGAGGAAUUUGCUGGUAUCAAAAAUAUUACAAGUCGCUAUGCCCUAGGCCAGUGGUAUUCAACCUGGGAUACGCGAAGACAUCUUAGGGGCUUUGGUUAAUAAUUUCGGAACACUGCUAAACCAAUGGUGUGAAGUAUCCAUGGCCCUGAUUCGUCCUUAUGGUGUAGCUGACUUCAUUUGGCGAUCAGAUACCAUUGUUCCUACGCAGUGCACCAUGUGUGGCUGGAUAUUGCGUCAGGCAGUGUUGGAGGCCAGCAGCUAGGCAGUACGUCAUAUCCGGGCACGGUGUUGACCAUGAGACACACGCGGGGCCUGAAGCUUAGGUCUUGUGUCGUGACCCUGGCUUGCGUGCAGCCAUGCACGAUCCAAGGAUCCAUGGAUUGCCUCAUAACACCUUUAAAAGAAUGAAAGGCGACUCGACACAUGUCACAAUCUGUUCUCGUUGCAAGUCGAUGUGUUUUAAUUGGACUUUGAUAAUUAGAGAUAGCAAUGUUUUGAUUAGUACACGGUUUGGGUAUCUAAAAAUGAAUUCCGAACAAAAGCUGAAGACUUGUGUUAUAAAAAGUGGCGUAUUGCGGGUUACGGACCCUUACAUUUACCACAGUUCUCGAGAAGCUGACAGUCGUUCAGAGAAAUAAUUCCCCGCAAUUUAUAGAACCAUAUUAACAAGAGCCGACCACCGGGCUUCGACCCUGUCCUCCUCCUCCUCCUCCCCCCCUCCCCCCGUCAUAUUUCUCUAAGAUCCUCUCCUCGCUUCUGAAACAGUAACAUCUCUUCAGAUUUUUUGACUAAAAUCGUAUAUGCUUACAUGCCCCUCCCAUCUCACUCCCCUUGAUUUGACCCUCGUAAUAUGUAGUGAAAUCAGAAUGAAUUUUUAUCGAGACAAAACAUAAUUUCGCUAGGCUUAGUGCCUUUUGGUUCAUCUGCGUGAAUUAAUGCGUAAUUAUUGUUUUGUAUACGAUAUUAAAGCGACCACUAACAGCACUAAUAGUGUCAAUGCAAAUCUUUCAGUGCAGCGACAACCGAUCAUGUGUAGAAGGGAGCUCAGUUAAUUGUAGAAGUAUUGGUACAUCAAAUAUACCUCAGACAAUGCACACUUUCCAACGCAAUUAUGUCGAAAGAAAGAUUUCGUUAGCAUAAUUGAUCAUAAAAGACAUUGAGGGAGGGAACGUGAAUCAUAUGAUGCUUCUUCACUUGAGAGGAGUGAAAAAUGAAGGUCCUGUUGACGUGUUGUGAGUGGAAAAUUUAUGUGUAUCGAAAGACUUGAGAAGUCGCGAUGGUUCACCUGUUGUUGCCACAGAAGUGAAUGGUGUAACGUAUGAUUCCUGUGUGUUUACUUGCCGAUAUGAAGGCAAGACAUCGAGUUAGCUGCUGUUAUGCUGUAACAUCGUAAUAUGCCGGUGCUCUUGUUAAAAUAAUCCGCUUUUCAGUUUUAAUUGGCAGCCUGAAGACGAAUUGUGUUCUCCGAACUGUUACUAUGGUUAUAAUUAAUUCCCAAUAAAUAAAUAUUUUUAAUGUA